CGCCAAAUAACUACGAGUGAAAACUUAAAAUUUAAAAGACUUGACGGUACCUCACAACAGCCUAGAGGAGCCUGUCUAAUAACCGAUACUCCACGAUCAACCCAACCCCCCCUAGCCAAACAGUCUAUAUACCGCCGUCGCCAGCCUACCUUAUGAAAGAAACAAAGUAAGCCAAAUAGUUACACACUAACACGACAGGUCGAGGUGUAACUAAUGGGGGGGCCUAAGAUGGGCUACAUUUUCUAACACAGAAAAUACGAAUAAACUAUGAAACAAGAAACUGAAGGCGGAUUUAGCAGUAUAUUAAGAACAAAAUACAUACUAGAAACUAACGCAAUGAGGUGCGUACACACCGCCCGUCAUCCCUGUCAACAACCAAUUUAAACCUCCAUAAACAAAUAAAAAAUU
rnacentral:rRNA from 1 species